UCGGAAGCGAGUAUAACGUGCGAUUACAGCUCACCAAAUGAACCGGUGGGAGUAAAACAAAGUCUUCCACGUCCAAUUCUAUCCGUAAGAAACCGUCGCCACAAGUUGCACAAGCGUAAGCUGGGUGAAGAAGAUCGAAGAAGCGUGAGAGGUUGCUGAAGCUGUUGAAGCAGAGUGCUCAAGAACCACGUUACCUUGCCUUUGACUUUCUCUUAAACUCACUUUCUUUUUGUACACCGAUCCUAUCGCGCCAACUGUGGAACCUGUAGAUUACUGUCAUAACGCAGCACCCGUCACAUCUUCCGAGAUCUUCGUAGUGUUUGGCAUCAUGCUGUCGUCAAUAAUUUCCGUACAUCAGCUUGAUUUGCGCAAUCGGCGCACUGGCAACCCCCGUCGCCUCCAGACCUCCGAAGGCGUUGCAGCAGCACGAGAAUCCGCAGAAUGGAAACUUGUUACUCGACAGCAACGCGAUACCCUCAACGAUUAGCGAAAACUUGAUGAGUUUCUUUUCAACAUUAACACCCGGCAUAUUGAGAAGCAUAUUAAAUAGCGGACGGUGGGCCGAGGAGAUGCCGUACGAAUUCCAGGCAGACCCUGAUGUCGAAACCAAAACUCAGGGCUACCAAGGAUUGUACAACGAAUUCCUCGAAUCGAGGAAGAGACGGCUAUAAUUGCAGAGUUAUUAAUGCACACGGAGUGUGAGGAGGACUUGUUUGAUUUUGAAAUAUAGCUGUAAGACAUUUCUUGCAUACUGAUCGGCUGACUUCAGUUCGGUUGCAAGAAAAAAUAACAUUACGAAUCGAGAAAAUCCCACCCGAGUUAAUUGAUAGGGCUAUAAUAAUACUGACUCGUAUCGGUGAACUAGUUCUGAAUGUUAAAUCGAACUAUAACAAAAAUAUUUUUCGAACAACGCUAGUUUUGUAACUAUCGAUAUUAUUUGCGAUGGUAUCAAAGUCAAUGAAGCUACCUCGUGUACAACGUCUACGAGUUGAAUAUAAUUAUAUCGGCGGUAUUGAAGUAUUAAAAAUUAGCAUGAAAUGGAAUUACAAUUUUCAAAUUCUACAUCAAUAAUGGCACGAGCGAUAAAGUCCAAGUCGCAGUUUACGAGAAUUGCUAAAGUGGAGUGACUAAAGCCGUCAAUCCGGAACGUACACUUACGUAAAAAGUGGUUAGAAAAUUCUAUGAGACCAGUUAAAAUAUAUAUUUGAUUCGCAUAUUCGUAAUCGAGGCUCAGCAGUGUUGCGUAAAUAUUAUUAUAACGCUGUAACGAUUGGAACUUGUAGACCGAGUUUGAAUAAGAGAUGAUCGAGUUGAUGAAUUAGACCCAAGACGCAAUUAUAGCCAAAAUGCGUAAUGAGUUAUUUUUUUACAUUUUACCGCCAUUAAAUAUCAAACGGUUCAUUUCCAAAGGAAUGCAAACUUUGCAUGUUGAUAUUUCACAAUUAGUAAUGACAAGUAUCAAAGAGUUAUAAAUAGUAUAAAAAUAUAAAUAUAUACAGAAUUAUGAAAAGCAUGAGUAAUAAGUCGUAGUAUAAUUUAUAUUAAUUUAUACUAAACCCAGAAAAACAAAUAGCUGGGAGAAACGAAUAGUAAACCUUUACCUACAAUAAAUUUCAGCGUUCCGACACUGGUUAAAUAUUAAAAUGGCAGAACCGGUUUAAACUGAUUCUAUAUUUUUUUUUCUUCAAUCGCCUUUGCGCAAAAUAACUUGCUCAAAGAUGUCCGGGGGCCACGUAGGAACAAAUGACCCGUAACUAAAACAGCAAGUAUGAGACAUAAUUGUACGAAGCUCGUCGGCAUGCACGCAAACCUGUAAUACAAGAAUAAAAUUAAGCUAAACUAGCAAUACAGCAGUCCGCCAUGUAUCGUAAUAGGGUAAUAAUGCUCAGCGGAAGAACAUUGUGAAUUCCGUUGCAUGAAUUAUUUAAAAGCAUCACGUUGCACGUGCAGUGGACGAUCAAUAAACGUCAGAAACAGGCUGUGCAAUAUUACGCAAUGGUGUGCAGAGUAAAUAUCUACACUGCGUACAAAGCGCACCGGCGAUAUAAAAGUAAAUGCAUACGACAAACGAAACAUCAACUCGUUAACAUUAACUCGACGACGAACUUGUGAAAUAAAAUUGAUUUACCCAGUUAA